rnacentral:rRNA from 1 species
CGUAGGUAAUCUACCCCGAAAUCUGGAAUAACCGGCCGAAAGGCUGGCUAAUACUGGAUAGAGCGACGGAAUCCGUAAUUGGGUUUUUCGGGAAAGGGAGGGAGCAAUCCCCUUCGUUUCGGGAUGAGCCUGCGUCUCAUUAGCUAGUUGGCGGGGUAAUGGCCCACCAAGGCAUUGAUGAGUAGCUGGUCUGAGAGGAUGAUCAGCCACACUGGAACUGAAACACGGUCCAG